AACGAACGCUGGCGGCAUGCCUGACACAUGCAAGUCGAACGAGACCUUCGGGUCUAGUGGCGCACGGGUGCGUAACGCGUGGGAACCUGCCCUUAGGUUCGGAAUAACUCCCCGAAAGGGGUGCUAAUACCGGAUAAUGUCUUCGGACCAAAGAUUUAUCGCCUUUGGAUGGGCCCGCGUUGGAUUAGCUAGUUGGUAGGGUAAAAGCCUACCAAGGCGACGAUCCAUAGCUGGUCUGAGAGGAUGAUCAGCCACACUGGGACUGAGACACGGCCCAGACUCCUACGGGAAGCAGCAGUGGGGAAUAUUGGACAAUGGGCGAAAGCCUGAUCCAGCAAUGCCGCGUGAGUGAUGAAGGCCUUAGGGUUGUAAAGCUCUUUUACCCGGGAUGAUAAUGACAGUACCGGGAGAAUAAGCUCCGGCUAACUCCGUG
rnacentral:rRNA from 1 species